CUCUGCUUUGCCUUGUCUUCCCGAGUAGCUGCUCCAUUCCCGGCAUAGAGGAUCAGGAGAGGGGACGCCACCUGCCACACGCUGGAUGCUGGGGUCCGCACGACUGCGGCUUGUGUCGCUGUGGUUGGUGGUGGUGAUGGAAACUGCAGCGUGGCUGGAGUGGUAGGAGCAGGGAAAUAGUUUUGGGGUAGAUGGAGGAGUAAGGGGGUGCUGAGUGCCAAAGGGAAAAGAAGAUGGCAGGGCGAGCAGGAGAAGGCAUUGCAAAAAGACGGUGGGGAAAAUAUGGUGGGAAAAAAGUGGGUAGAUGGAGGCAGAAAAACAGGGUGGUGAACAGGAGGGAGAGCUUUUGCAAAAAGAUGGUGGGGAAAAGAUGGUGGGUAAAAAGUUUUUCAGCCAGAUGCGGUGUCUCAGGCCUGUAAUUCCAGCACUUUGGGAGGCCAAGGCCGGCAGAUCACCUAAGGUCAGGAGUUUCAGACCAGCUUGGCCAACAUGGAGAAACCUUGUCUCCACUAAAAAUACAAAAUUAGCCAGGCAUGGUGGUGCAUGCCUGUAAUCCCAGCUACUCAGGAGGCUGAGGCAGGAGAAUUGCUUGAACCCGGGAGGCGGAUGUUGUGAGCCGAGAUUGCGCCAUUGCACUCCAGCCUGGGUAACGAGCAAAAACUGCAUCUCAAAAAAAAAAAAAAAAAGGUUUUUGGGUAGAUGGAGGGGGAAAAGUGGGUGGCAAGUGAGAGGAGGAAAGGGAGGAUGGUGAGGGGGUGGAAAUGAGGUGGAACAGGAGGGAGAGAAGGUUUGCAAAAAGAUGGUAAGGGAAAACAGAGUAGGAAGAAAAAGACAGGUGGGGAGAAAGAUUGUGGGUAGAUGCAGGGGGGAAGAGGAUGGCAAGUGGGAGGAGAAAAGAGGGUGCUGAGAAAGGACGGUGCUGAGGGAGGGGGAAGAGAGGAUGGUGAGCAGGAGGGAGAGAAGGUUUUGCAAAAGGAUGGUGUGGAGAAAAGACUGGAGAGAAAAGUUUUUGGGUAGAUGGAGGGGGAUAAGAAGGUGGCAAGCAGGAGAGGGAAAAAGUGGGUGGCGAGCUGGAGGGAGAGAAGGUUUUGUGAAAAGACAGUGGGCGGAAAAGAAAGACCAUGGAGAAAGAAAAGACAGUGAGGAAAAAGUUUUUGGGUAGAUGGAGGGAGGAAAGAGAGUGGCAAGCAGGCUACAGGAAAG
rnacentral:lncRNA from 1 species